GACAGAGGGGGCAAGCGUUGCUCGGAAUUACUGGGCGUAAAGGGCGCGUAGGCGGUCGGGCAAGUCGGAUGUGAAAGCCCAGGGCUCAACCCUGGAAGUGCACUCGAUACUGCUCGGCUAGAGUCCCGGAGAGGAUGGUGGAACUCUCGGUGUAGAGGUGAAAUUCGUAGAUAUUCGGAGGAACACCAGUGGCGAAGGCGGCUCACCUGGCGUCCGGUACUGACGCUGGAGGUGCGAA
rnacentral:rRNA from 1 species